CUCCCUCCGGCGACGCCCACCUCCCUCCAAUGGAGCUCGACCCCCACCCCCAAGCGCCGUUGCUCCACCCUCUCCCGCGAGGGUCUCUGCUGCCCACGCGUACAACCUCCGUCCCCUGUUGGUCUCCCUGCUGGCCCUCCUUCCUCGCCCCGGCUCCCUGCUCCGCCUCGACCGGCCAGCGCGCCGCCAUGAACGGCCAGCGUACCAUGAUUCAAGAUCCACCAUGCCGCCGUCUCACUGCUCGCCUUCGGCGAACGUAGCUAGCAGCACCCGAGCUAGGCGCCCUAUGGAUCCCCCUCUCCUCUUCCACGGGACCACAACCAACAGCUCCCAUCCUCAUCGCGAGCCCCUCCCCCCCGCAUCGCCAUCGCCAUCACGACCGGAGCUGCUCCCCAUCGCCAUACCUUACUGCAGCAGCAUAAGAGCUGCGGCCCACUUCCUCUACCAGCAUCGGAGCUGCGCCAAUCUUCUUCUCGCGACACCGGAGCCCCGCAUUUUUUCUCCAUGGCCGAUGACUGGUGUUGCUUGCCGCCUCCAACCUUCCGCCAGCAGCAGCACAAUGGCUCCACCCUCUACCUCCUACUCCGAUGAACGGCAGCAGCUAGACACGCCAUCCCUUCUCCAGGUUGAUGUGUGCUGCUUAGAUGGAACCUUGGCAGGGCCGUUGUUCCCAGCGAUGCAUCAACUGGUCGCAGCAACCACCAAGAAGACACCCAACUCCCGCAUCCCGAACUACCCGAGCCUGCCGUCGCAGCUGCUGUGUCAAGUCCACAACAUCACCAUGCAUGCUGACAAGGACGCUAACGAGGUCUACGCAUAGAUGACUCUGCAACCAGUAAACUCUGUAAGUACUAUCGGAAAUGGAGCUUGGUGAAGAUAUUCAGAACAUGCUGAACUGCGUUUUCUCUACAUGUGCUUUUAUCGGUUUGCAUGCUGCAUGUUUGAUGUUUUGCCUGAGCUGGGGACGAAAUGGUACCGAAUGCCUGAAACUAACAUUAACAGUGUUCAGUUUAAGUGUACAUUUUGAGAUCAGUGCCAGUGUUUAUAAACGCUCAAAAUCUGUACAGUAUUUCUUAGAUUAAUGAGUGCUUACUGUAUAAUUUAGGAAAGUUUUAAUAAUACUACAAUAGAUGCUAAUUAAACCAGGAAGUGAAGCACUACCAAACGUACCGUAUACAAUGUUCAGUUCAAGAAUUUUCAGUUUAGUGAUAGAGUUUAUCAUCAACCCAAAAAAUAUAUAUCUGAUUUCACAUUGACGAGUACUACUGCUUACUUCUCCCAUUCCUUGGCUGAAGACUUUGUUUUGAACCGAGCCUUGCAGUAAGGAGGGAAUGGUUGCGUCUGUUUUGUGCUUGGAUGCCUUCUCCUAGUUGUGCUAAAUUUGAGGUGCCUGUUUAAUUAAAAAGCACCUUUCAUCCCCACUGUGACGGUAAUGCAUUGAGGUGCCUCUGGACUGUAGUGUAUGUUGAUACAAUUGAGGUGUUCCUAGCUAGUGUCUGCACUUCUGUAUGUGUUUGAUGUGAAACACUUAUGCAUGACUAAUUGUUAAGUUAAUACAAUUUCUUUGCCAGACAAGCAUGGAAAUAUGUACUAACUUUCCUGAAAAUUGAGCUUUUCUUAACUAAUCAAGAACUCCCCUCAUUAUGUGAAACACCUAUGCAUAUGACUAAUUUUGCACGACAAUUCUGUUCAAUUCUGAUUUCUUUGGUAGUCAAUUCUGUUCAACUAUGAAACACCUAUGCAUAUGACUGAAAGCAUGUCUACAUCAGUACAACUUUGCAGGCAUAUUUUAUUGACUAGAUAUAUACGUGUUGACUGUUCGUCUGUUCCUAUGUACCGCAUAUUGUGUAAUGGAGUUUGCUUGUAUGGUGUUAGUGAAAAUGUUUGUAUGAAAAUAAUUGACAUUGGUGAUAGCUUACAUGGCCAUUAGAAAUGCGGAAGCGUACAGCGGCCGCGGCCGCCCAUGCCCUGCUUCUCCUGGUCUUUGUGUACCCUUCCCGCAUACUGUCUAUUUGUGAUUUGUCCUAGCAAGUUUCGGUUCAUGAGAAAUAACUUUCCAGGAUUCACCGGACGAACAACUACUUGUUCUAGCAUGUUUAUUUGAAGCAAUUUGUGAUUCAUGCUAUUUGAUGAACUAGUACCUAGGUCGGGAGACUAGCAGAACUUGCAAACUUUAGUUUUCUCACCAGUAGUCACUUAUCCUGCUGUUCAUGUCCAUACAGCAUUUGUAUUGGUUCUAUGUUACAGCUGUUGCAAACAAUUUAUUAAUGUGGGAUGUGGCUCUAUGUCCAGUUCUGUUUCUCUUUUAAAGAAAUCCCCUCUGCCUCUUGUGUGCAGCAAGUUGAUUGUUUUGUCUCUAUAUUAUUGUGCGGAUUGGCCAAGUAUUAGUCGAUCUGCAAGCCGGUUUAAGAGCUGGAUUGGCCAGUCCAAUUCAACACAGAGCUGAGUGUAUGUUGAAACUUUUCGUCCAUCAAGCUCCACCUCCGGCCGCGCCGACGAUGCCCUCGCCUUCGCCAACCUCCACUCCUCCAUGAGGUGAUUUGUUUCUUGGAAUUUGGAAGAGGAAGACGAUGAAGUGUCGUGGUUAUCUAUCAAUAUGCCUUGUGUUCUGGUUGUACUUCAUAGUUACAUUGUAUUUUGUACUGGUCUGGUUGUAUGAACACUAUGUAAAGAUUGUAAUAGGCUAAUUUUGGCUAUCAUUUCAAGUAUAUAGUUCUGUUUCAUUUGAAAUAUUUGUCAUUUGUGUACUGUGAAAAUGUGAGAAAUAGAAAGUUGAUGAGUUGGACCUACUUAUCUGUAGAGGCCAAGGCCCAAAACGUGAAUAGCAUGUAAAAAGGCUGAGGCCCAAAAAAGAAGUCAACUUUUAAAAGGCCG
rnacentral:rRNA from 1 species